rnacentral:rRNA from 1 species
UGGGGAAUAUUGCACAAUGGGCGCAAGCCUGAUGCAGCCAUGCCGCGUGUGUGAAGAAGGCCUUCGGGUUGUAAAGCACUUUCAGCGGGGAGGAAGGCGGUGAGGUUAAUAACCUCAUCGAUUGACGUUACCCGCAGAAGAAGCACCGGCUAACUCCGUGCCAGCAGCCGCGGUAAUACGGAGGGUGCAAGCGUUAAUCGGAAUUACUGGGCGUAAAGCGCACGCAGGCGGUCUGUCAAGUCGGAUGUGAAAUCCCCGGGCUCAACCUGGGAACUGCAUUCGAAAAUGGCAGGCUAGAGUCUUGUAGAGGGGGGUAGAAUUCCAUGUGUAGCGGUGAAAUGCGUAGAGAUGUGGAGGAAUACCGGUGGCGAAGGCGGCCCCCUGGACAAAGACUGACGCUCAGGUGCGAAAGCGUGGGGAGCAAACAGG